GUGUUCACUUCAGCAACACAUAUACUAUAAAUGGAAUAACACUAAAAUAUGAGCAAGGCCCCUGGGCAAGAAUGACAUGCAAAUUCGUGAAGCAUUUACUAUCUUA
ensembl:snRNA U6 U6 spliceosomal RNA